UACGAAGGGGGCUAGCGUUGUUCGGAUUUACUGGGCGUAAAGCGCACGUAGGCGGAUCGUUAAGUCAGGGGUGAAAUCCUGGGGCUCAACCCCAGAACUGCCUUUGAUACUGGCGAUCUCGAGUCCGGAAGAGGUGAGUGGAACUCCUAGUGUAGAGGUGGAAUUCGUAGAUAUUAGGAAGAACACCAGUGGCGAAGGCGGCUCACUGGUCCGGUACUGACGCUGAGGAGCGAAAGCCAGGGGAGCGAACGGG
rnacentral:rRNA from 1 species